ACAUAAGACAUACCGUAUUCAGAUUUUACCGGGCUUUAUCGUACCGAACUCGUGUCCGAUAUCCUGUUAAACCGGUAUAACCGGUCAGUUCAUACCGGUAUUUAAAACAUUGCUUAAGAGAGUUUUUCCUCUAUAAUUGCCAUAUAUAUAUGUAUAUAUACCUCUUUUACAGUUUUUACAUGUAACAACUUUUGUCAAGAGAGAGAAAGUUAAUAUGUUACAUCUCUUUUGUCAUUUACAUAGAGUUAACAUCACAUCAUGUUACAUUUUUUUUUCAAUAACACUUUUUGCCGGUUUACGUGCUUUUUAAGAAAAAAAAAAAAAAAAUUAGUGUAACAGACAAUUCUCAUACAUGACAGUGAUCAAAUAAAAAAAUUGAAAAAACAAAAAGUUGUUAUAUGUACUUUUGUCACUAUGUGACAUGUUGAAAAGUUACUUUAUGUAAUAUGCAAUCUAAAUCAUAGGAAUUCUAGAUGGAUAGUAGAGAUUGAGUUUCUUGAGUU
rnacentral:lncRNA from 1 species